AAUGAACGCUGGCGGCAGGCCUAAAACAUGCAAGUCGAACGCCCUAGCAAUAGGGAGUGGCGCACGGGUGAGUAACAUGUGGGAAUAUGCCUUUGGUACGGAACAACGUUUGGAAACGAACGCUAAUACCGUAUGGUCCCUCCGGGGUAAAGAUUUAUCGCCAAAAGAUUAGCCCGCACUAGACUAGCUAGUUGGUAAGGUAAUGGCUUACCAAGGCGACGAUCUAUAGCUGUUCUGAGAGGAAGAUCAGCCACACUGGGACUGAGACACGGCCCAGACUCCUACGGGAGGCAGCAGUUAGGAAUAUUGGACAAUGGGCGCAAGCCUGAUCCAGCCAUGCCGCGUGAGUGAUGAAGGCCUUCGGGUUGUAAAGCUCUUUAGCCGACGAAUAUAAUGACUGUAGUCGGAGAAUAAGCCCCGGCUAACUUCGUGCCAGCCGCCGCCGUAACAC
rnacentral:rRNA from 1 species